UCAAAUUUCGUUAGGAAGAUUUUGGGAAAAUUGGAAAGAAAAUCUUACGAUAAGCAAUACUUUUGAGUUGACCAUGAAUUACAGAUAGGAUUGUUUGUGAGGGCUGGGCAGAGAGGCAUCCAUCGUUCGACAUUCAUCAAUUUCUUAAAACAAAAACAGUGUCCCAGAAAUGACACAAUCCGUGGCAAUGGCUUCUUCAUCAAUGUUGUGUCCGAGUGCUGUGUCGCAUACAAAGUUCCGAGCUUUCCAUCUCUCUUCAAUGUUCACUCCACUGGGUCGAGGCCUUUUCUCGCCGUGGAGUGGUUUAAAGCAUUUGGGCAUCUCUGCUAAACCAAAACCUCUUCUUCACAUAGCUAGAAAGGGGUGUAAGGGUAUGGUGGUUUACGCUUCUCUCUUUGGGGUUGGAGCUCCUGAAGCUUUGGUGAUUGGGGUCGUUGCUUUGUUGGUUUUUGGUCCUAAAGGUCUCGCUGAGGUUGCUCGAAAUCUGGGAAAAACAUUGCGUGCGUUUCAACCCACCAUUAGAGAGCUUCAGGACGUUUCAAGGGAAUUUAAGACUACGCUUGAACGGGAGAUUGGUCUUGAUGACAAUAUAAGUCCAACGCAGAACAGAUACAACUCUAAUGCAAGCAAUACCAGAUCAACAUCAUCAUCCACAGUUGACCCUAUGUGUAUGAUUGGUCUCCUCAUAGAAGUACCAUCUUACGCUUGCAAACAAUUAAGUUCACAUUACAACUACAAUGAUCUUUAUCAACCAUAUCAGUUAUUGAGUUGAUAAGAACCAGAAAAUAGAACUGAUACAAAUGCCAAAAAGAAAAAGAAAAGCAAGUAAAAGUAAUUUGGAGAAAUGACUACUAUGUAUAUUAAGACAAUGCUUUAUGUAAGGGGACAUUUUUUCUUAUUUCAUAAAGCAUUGUCUUAAUAUACAUAGUAGUCAUUUCUCCAAAUUACUUUUACUUGCUUUUCUUUUUCUUUUUGUAAUUAUCAGCUGCCAGACGGAACGCCAGACCCUAAGAAUGCAUACAGCUCUGAGGAAUAUCUUAAGAUUACAGAGGAACAGCUGAAGGCAUCUGCUGCACAACAGCAGGAGCAAACACCUCCCAAGGAACGCGAGGAUGAGCCUCAAAUCAAGC